rnacentral:piRNA from 1 species
UUCUCUUGUAAGAGCUGUAAGGUGUGUUG